GGCUUCGUAGCUCAGCUGGUAAAGCACUUGCCGCGCUGAGGCACGCCGUGUCCGUCGCUGGUUCGAAUUCAGCCGAAGCCC
rnacentral:tRNA from 1 species